AUACUUACCUAGCAGGCUCCCCUGCUAAGAUGAUCAUGAAGGUUUUCCCAGGGUGUGUCUUGUCUAUUGCACUCAGGAUGUGCUGACCCCUGUGAUUUUCCCAAAGGUGGGAAGAACAACUACAUGAUUUGUGAUAGUGGGGGACUGUGAUAGUGUUCUCCCCUG